UACGGAGGGUGCAAGCAUUAAUCGGAUUUAUUGGGCGUAAAGGGCGCGUAGGCGGAGAUAAAAGUCAGAUGUGAAAUCCUGGGGCUCAACCUCAGAACUGCAUUUGAAACUUUAUCCCUAGAGGAUAGGAGGAGAAAACGGAAUUCCACAAGUAGCGGUGAAAUGCGUAGAUAUGUGGAAGAACACCGGUGGCGAAGGCGGUUUUCUAUCUUAUUCCUGACGCUGAGGCGCGAAAGCAAGGGGAUCAAACAGG
rnacentral:rRNA from 1 species